rnacentral:miRNA from 1 species
GCCUCCUCUCCCAUCCUCUCCUUCU